UUUUAGCCCUGAUGGGAGCGGCAUCCUUUUGUAUUUGAUAUUAAGAGAGAACAGCUGGUGGCUGUAAGGUAUUUUGUUUUGACAAAACAUCUUGGUAACAAACAAAAGAUACAGCGGACAGCAGGAAAAAGC
rnacentral:sRNA from 1 species